UACGUAGGGUGCAAGCGUUGUCCGGAAUUAUUGGGCGUAAAGAGCUCGUAGGCGGUUCGUCACGUCGGCUGUGAAAUCCCGAGGCUCAACCUCGGGUCUGCAGUCGAUACGGGCGGACUUGAGUACUGCAGGGGAGACUGGAAUUCCUGGUGUAGCGGUGAAAUGCGCAGAUAUCGGGAGGAACACCGGUGGCGAAGGCGGUUCUCUGGGCCUGUACUGACGCUGAGGAGCGAAAGCGUGGGGAGCGAACAGG
rnacentral:rRNA from 1 species